rnacentral:rRNA from 1 species
CCUACGGGUGGCAGCAGUGGGGAAUAUUGGGCAAUGGGGGGAACCCUGAUCCAGCGACGCCGCGUGAGUGAAGAAGUCUUUCGGUAUGUAAAGCUCUAUCAGCAGGGAAGAAAGACAUGACGUUCCCUACCUACGAAGCCCCGGCUAACUACGUGCCAGCAGCCGCGGUAAUACGUAGGGGGCAAGCGUUAUCCGGAUUUCCUGGGUGUAAAGGGAGCGUAGACGGCGGGGCAAGUCUGAAGGGAAAGGCGGGGGCCCAACCUCAGGACUGCUUUGGAAACUGUAUGGCUGGAGUGCAGGAGAGGCAAGUGGAAUUCCUAGUGUAGCGGGGAAAUGCGUAGAUAUCAGGAGGAACACUAGUGGCGAAGGCGGCUUACUGGACUGUAACUGACGUUGAGGCUCGAAAGCGUGGGGAGCAAACAGGAUUAGAUACCCCAGUAGUC